UGGGGAAUUUUCCGCAAUGGGCGAAAGCCUGACGGAGCAAUACCGCGUGAGGGAGGAAGGCUCUUGGGUUGUAAACCUCUUUUCUCAGGGAAGAAAAAAAUGACGGUACCUGAGGAAUAAGCAUCGGCUAACUCCGUGCCAGCAGCCGCGGUAAUACGGAGGAUGCAAGCGUUAUCCGGAAUGAUUGGGCGUAAAGCGUCCGCAGGUGGCUAUGUAAGUCUGCUGUUAAAGAAUGAGGCUCAACCUCAUCAAAGCAGUGGAAACUACAAGGCUAGAGUGCGUUCGGGGUAGAGGGAAUUCCUGGUGUAGCGGUGAAAUGCGUAGAUAUCAGGAAGAACUCCGGUGGCGAAAGCGCUCUACUAGGCCGCAACUGACACUGAGGGACGAAAGCUAGGGGAGCGAAUGGGAUUAGAUACCCCAGUAGUCCUAGCCGUAAACGAUGGAUACUAGGCGUGGCUUGUAUCGACCCGAGCCGUGCCGGAGCUAACGCGUUAAGUAU
rnacentral:rRNA from 1 species